AGCUCCAAUAGCGUAUCUUAAUGUUGUUGCAGUUAAAAAGCUCGUAGUUGAAAUUCUGGGCCGGGCCGGCUCCCCAUUGGGCUGCCAUCGUCCGAGUCCAUCCGCCUGGGGACUUGCUUGUAGUUCAUUCUACGGCAUGCACAACCAGGCAUUUUACUUUGAAGAAAUUAGAGUGUUUCAGGCAGGCGUUCGCUUGUAUACACCAGCAUGGAAUAAUAGAAAAGGACUGCUUCUAUUUUAUUGGUAUAUUAGGAGUAGUAAUGAUUAACAGGAACAGUUGGGGGCAUUCGUAUUUAGUAGUUAGAGGUGAAAUUCUUGGAUUUACUAAGGACGAACUAAUGCGAAAGCAUUUGCCAAGGAUGUUUUCA
rnacentral:rRNA from 1 species